CUUCUCUGCAAAAUCCCUUUCUGGCCAGUCUCCCUGGGCUACCCGCUUGUAAAGGAGAUGUUAUCACCUCCCAGACUUUGCUCAGUGGAUUGCUCCAUCCUCCUUGGAAUCCCUUCUCCUAAUGUUCUUGCCACUACUUCUCCAACUGAGUUGCUGAGCUGUUGAGUGGCAUGCCGUCCUUGGAUGGCUUCUCCACCGACUUCCAUUCUACAUCAUGGUCAUCUUGACUUCGAAGAGCUACAUGCUGAACACUCACAAAUAUUCAUUUCCAGACUCUCCCCUGGAUAUCUCCAGCCAAGUGUCCAAAAGACAUCUCACACGAAACAUGUCUGUGUUAGCUUUUCAUCACUGUGACCAGAAUACCUGACAAGAACAACUUAGAGGAGGAAAGCUAUUUUUGGGCUCUCAGUUUCUGAGGAUUCAGUCUAUGGCAGCUGGCUCCAUUCCGUUGAACCUGAGGUGCCAGAGCUUGCAAGCUAUUGAUGGAAAACAACACCACAGCAGACAAAGGCGAGGAAACAGUGAAUCUCCAAGGUCACACAGUAAAGACUAGCCCCAGGACCAGGACCUCUGCCUCUGCAUUGGUAGAAUCCAGUUAAGGCUGGGACCUCAAAGAGAUCCCAAGGAAGUGAGGCCCCUAAGCCAGACCUCUGUCCCUGGACUGCUUGGUGAGGGCCUGAUGGAUCUGGGAUUCCUGCAGAAGGUUCUGCUGGCAGAACAGAACGCGGGGGCUGGACAAAGCCUUUCACCCUCAAGUAAGUUAACCAGCUGGCCCUGGUUUGCCUAGGACUUCCUCACUUUUUGCAAUGCAAGUCCCAAAUCCUGGGAAACUCUCAUUCCUGAGCAGAUUGAGACAGUUGUUCACCUUAUCUGCAAGGCCUUUUGAACCUGCAAACCUGCUCUGGAUCACACCGCACCUUGCAUAGCUGGAUUCCUGGAUGCAAGGGAGACUUGGUAGCUGAGGAAGGACCCUGAGCCAGUGCCGGGACAUUCCCAUCAGAGUCGCAAGCUGUAUAGACUGUGCCUGUGUCAACAGCACAGAGCUCCUAGCCAUAGCAUGGGGGAGAGUAGAAAGUGCAUUUUCACCUGAGCCUCUAAAAAUAU